CUUUAAACUUAUCCUUUUUCUUACCUUGGCUUUGUCUGCUUACUCGAGAAGCAAAACCACUCGAUCCCAAAGGCGUAUAAAGAGGAAAGGAGAGAUUUUGUGCUGUGGUUUUGGUUUUUGAAAAAUGGCUUCAGCUCUGUUACUGGUGGUGGUGUUUGUGUUUGAUCUGGUUGCUUUUGCUUUUGCCGUUGCUGCUGAGCAGAGGAGGAAUACUGCAGAGGUCAUCACACAAGAAGAUUAUAAGUACUGUAAAUAUGAUUCAGAUGUUGCAACUGGAUUAGGUGCUGGUGCGUUCGUGGCCCUUAUGGCUAGUCAAAUCCUAAU
rnacentral:misc_RNA from 1 species